rnacentral:rRNA from 1 species
AUUGAACGCUAGCGGGAUGCUUUACACAUGCAAGUCGAACGAGUGGCGGACGGGUGCGUAAUACAUCGGAACGUGCCCAAUAGCGGGGGAUAACUCCUCGAAAGUGUGGCUAAUACCGCCUAACAUUGGAGCGGCCCAUAUCGGAUUAGCUAGUUGGUGGGGGAAAGGCUCACCAAGGCCACGAUCCGUAGCUGGUUUGAGAGGACGACCAGCCACACUGGGACUGAGAAACGGCCCAGACUCCUACGGGAGGCAGCAGUGGGGAAUUUUGGACAAUGGGGGAAACCCUGAUCCAGCCAUCCCGCGUGUAUGAGAAGGCCUUCGGGUUGUAAAGUACUUUUGGCAGAGAAGCGGUAUCUGCAGAAUAAGCACCGGCUAACUACGUGCCAGCAGCCGCGGUAAUUC